CUCCUAGAAAUAGCUCAAGUUCUUGAUGAACAUGUGAAUGAAUUCAAGUCGAUAGAGAAGUUCAAAAUUUUCAAUCCCAACAACUUAUGGGUGAACUUGAAAGCAAUCAAAAGACUUGUACAAGAAAGUGCACUGAAGAUGGAGGUUAUUC